UGGUAUAUAGUUUAAACAAAACAAGUGAUUUCGACUCAUUAGAUUAUGGUAAACCGUAUAUACCAA
rnacentral:tRNA from 1 species